UAUUUGAUAGAGACAGAAAUUGAGAGGGGAGGAGAGAGGCAGAAAGACACCUGCGGUCUUGCUUCACCACUCGUGAAACUUUCCCCCUAUAGGUGGGGAUCAGGGGGUUGAACCCGGGUCCUUGCGAAUUAUAGCAUGUGUGCUCAACCAGGUGCGCCACUUCCUGGCCUCAAAUCUAUGUUUCUUACAAAGCCUGGAGCAAAACGGUCAGCACCCGGUGCCAGAGCCGGAAGCCCAGAGGACGCUGAGAACAAAUCAAUAAAGGAACGGUCUACCUGCUGUCCAUUGAGCUUCCUACAGUCCCAGAGUUUUGUUUGUUAAUAUGAUUGUGUUCACAGCAGCUGGAUUCAUAACUGUAAAAAACUGGUAACAGCUUAGAUGUUCCCUAGCCGGCUGAUGGAUAAAUACAUGUACAGCCGCACUGAGGAACACUACUGGGAAGUCAAAAGGACAAAACUAGGUUAGUGACAUGGGUUAAUUUCAAAAGUAUUACGCUAAGUGGAAGAAGCCAGAUUCAAAAAUGUUACAUACUGUAUGUCUCCAUCUAUAUGAUAAUCUAGACCGUGCAAAUUCUACCUGUAUUCUUAGGAGUAAGCCAGUUGUUGCCGGAGGGCAGGGAUAGGGGUAUCAGUGUGACCAGAAAGACACACAAAAGAACCUUGGGGAUAAUGGCCAUGUUCUGUGUAUUGAUUGCAGUGGUGGUUGUAGGUGAACACAUAUCUUUAAAAAAAACUGACCCACUGGGGUUGUAUUGUUAUGUGGAAAACUGAGAAAUGUUAUGUAUGUACAAACUAUUGUAUUUACUGUCGACUGUAAAACAUGAAUCCCCCAAUAAAGGAAAAAAUAUAUAUAUAAAAACCUGACCCACUGGACUGGGUAGGUGUUGAGCAGUAGAGCACAUAUUGUGCAAGAGUGAGGUCCUGGUUUCCAUCUCCAAUACCCCAUUAGAAACAGAAAAGACAGAGGUCUGAGAGACAGAG